rnacentral:rRNA from 2 species
UGCGGAGGAUCAUUAUCGUACAAACAUGUGUGAGGCGUGCGAGGGCUGUCGCUGACUUUUUGACACAAAAAGUCGUGCACGCCGGAGUGCGUCCUCUCACAUAAAAUCCAUCUCACCCUUUUGUGCACCACCGCGUGGGCACCCUUUGGGAUCGAAUCGAUCCAGGAGGGGGCUUGCGUUUUCACACAAACCCCUUUUAAAAAGUGUAGAAUGACCCCACUUUGCGAUGACACGCAAUCAAUACAACUUUCAACAACGGAUCUCUUGGCUCUCGCAUCGAUGAAGAACGCAGCGAAAUGCGAUACGUAAUGUGAAUUGCAGAAUUCAGUGAAUCAUCGAAUCUUUGAACGCACCUUGCGCCCCUUGGUAUUCCGAGGGGCACACCCGUUUGAGUGUCGUGAAAAUCUCAACCUUCUCGGUUUUCUUCUGGACACCGAAGGAGGCUUGGACUUUGGAGGCCUUUGCUGGCAUCUCUCUCUUCUUGAGAGCCAGCUCCUCUUAAACGAAUUAGCGGGGUCCUCUUUGCCGAUCCUCGACAUGUGAUAAGAUGUUUCCAUGACUUGGUUUCUGGCUCUGUUGCCUUUGGGACCCGCUUCUAACCGUCUCGACGAGACAACGUUUGGGCGCGUCUCCCUUCUCGGGAGACUCUCUCAACCCCACGAACCCUUGACCUCAAAUCGGGUGAGACUACCCGCUGAACUUAAGCAUAUCAU